UGCUGCUUGGUCUGUUGGAUUGUUGUUUCCUCAACUGCCUUUUCCCUCAACUAAAAUACGCCCAGACUUCAGAGUGACUGAAAAAUCUCCACAACCGUCUUGUGCUGUUGUCAUUGACCCAAACAAACCCACACUGCAUACUGCGCAUGUGCACCUGCUUCCGGGAGACUGUCGCUAACUUUGGUUGAUGCUGGACGGUAUUUACCGAUGUAUACAAACAGACCUUGACUGAAUAGGCCAGGGAGAUGGUGACAGCCAGAGGGAGACCCUCGGGCACUGCAACCACCAGCACCGUCACACCGAUGAUAAAGAAUUUGACCAGGAACUGCACAUAGAUGGGCAUACACUCAUUAGCCCAGGUAACUCCCUCAACCCAGAAGGUAUCGAUCGCAAAGCGAAUGAUGAGUAUGAGGACAGUGAGACCCGACAUGAACAGACCUGAAGACACAGAAAAACAGACAAAGAUGGUUGCCAAAAUUAAAACAUAGCUGAUCAUAACUUAUUUAUACCUACGAUGGCCCAAAACUUCUUUC